CAGUAGCCGCGGUAAUACGUAGGUCCCGAGCGUUGUCCGGAUUUAUUGGGCGUAAAGCGAGCGCAGGCGGUUAGAUAAGUCUGAAGUUAAAGGCUGUGGCUUAACCAUAGUAUGCUUUGGAAACUGUUUAACUUGAGUGCAGAAGGGGAGAGUGGAAUUCCAUGUGUAGCGGUGAAAUGCGUAGAUAUAUGGAGGAACACCGGUGGCGAAAGCGGCUCUCUGGUCUGUAACUGACGCUGAGGCUCGAAAGCGUGGGGAGCAAACAGGAUUAGAUACCCCAGUAGUCCCUGUCUCUUAUACA
rnacentral:rRNA from 1 species